rnacentral:rRNA from 1 species
UACGGAGGGUGCAAGCGUUAUCCGGAUUCACUGGGUUUAAAGGGUGCGUAGGUGGGCAGGUAAGUCAGUGGUGAAAUCUCCGGGCUUAACCCGGAAGCUGCCAUUGAUACUAUUUGUCUUGAAUACCGUGGAGGUCAGCGGAAUAUGUCAUGUAGCGGUGAAAUGCUUAGAUAUGACAUAGAACACCAAUUGCGAAGGCAGCUGGCUACACGAAUAUUGACACUGAUGCACGAAAGCGUGGGGAUCAAACAGG